AAAAAGGUGGCAUAAAUGAGACGCGAUGUGGAUGUCUUCUGGAACGCGUAAUCGCGGAACGAUUGCGUAAAACAAAGCAAUAACCGGAAAUUGGAUUUUUUAUAAGUUUAAAUAGAAAUUCACGAAGGUCUCUGGCGGGAACGACGAGAAGAAUAAAGAAGAUAACAAAGUAUUCUAUGAUAUUAUAAUAACAAGUAAAAGUAACAGAAGAGAACGAUGACUGAGAGGUGUGGCGAUUAUUGGUUGCCCUUGCACACAAGACUCCACCUACCUGUACGCCUAUUUCGGUUAUAAACUGGGAUAGUAUUUCCUCUAAACGAACAGAGUCAAUCGAUCAAUGGCAAACGAACGGUUCGUAUAAAACCGAAAGGAAGAUCCUGAUCGUAAUCGCUGUAAAAAGCCUUCAAAUCCAAUUUCAUCGAUCAUCAAGCUCGUGACAAAAGUGACUGGUAAUUAAAAGAAAGAAGAGAAAAGGACCAUUUCGAUUGAGCUCGAUACCGAAUAGGUGAACGAGCGCGCAUAUUAAAAGCCUUUUAACGUAACCGACUGUAUUCAAGGUACUUUGGAGGCAGGGUUGAAACCACCCCAGUCGGAUUCACCCUCCUGGCACAGUCCAAGCUCUACGUGCGCCGAUUCGUAUGUACCUACGUGUUUAGGGAAUAGAGAAGCACCACGUAGGGGGAUGAAGGAUAGAGGAAGAACCAAAAUGGAUGUUUGGGGAUGCAUAGAAAUCCGUAGCUUAUUUACGACCUUCAAGGAAACACCCAACAGAUCUCACAAAGGACGUCAAUCAAAUUCGAAGAUGGUAUCCCACUGGGAGUAGCCAUCCACAUGUUAUAUUAUUAUAUUUCUGAGCUAUAAUAUUUUACCAAACGUCCUACUGGACAAAUUGUAAAAUGUAAAUAAAUAAAUUAAAAAAAAAAAAAAAAAAAGAAGAAAUCCGUAGCUUAUUUACGACCUACGAACUAUUCUCCAUCUUGUAAACCUGAAUUUAUCUUUUAUUUAACGUUCAAAUGAUACACUUACGUUUUAACUGAAUUGCCUUACUUAGUAUCUGGAUAUAAUCGUUUUUAUCGACAAGAUUCCUACAAUGGGGGUAAACAGCUCCUCCGCGUUGUCGAUUGGCUCAAGGGAAACCCGCGGUAGCCAGGACUGGUGCCUAUCUUAUUUUGCAAGCGGCACUCUCAGGAAGACGAUACUAUAAUUGGGACGCUGAUUGUCUUUUUUAUCUUUCCCUGUAAGAUGAUGUAGUGUUUUCAUUGUAAAACGAUACGGAGCUUGAGUAUUCCAAUGCGAAACGACGAAGCAAAGAAUGGCUGAUAUACGUGUAAGUAGUUUGCGAAUGUUUACACAAAUUCGCAUUUUUAUAAACUAAAGAAAUGGAACUUACGUAUCGUCAUCGACAUAUUAUAACAGAUAACUAUAUCUUGAUAUUAUAAGUAAGGAGAUUAAAUGAAAAUAGAAGAAUUCGGCCAUCAACGUUGGAAAAAUGUCGACGCAACGAUUCCAAUAGUUUGACGAAUGACUUAAGUCGAUAUUUUAUGAGAAUGUUUAACCUUUUAAAGAUUAGAAGAAUCUUGAGAGAAAAAAUGAAGAGUCGUUGAUUUUUCUCUUUAAUCUUAAGAAGCAAAGUUUGAUGAAUCGAUAAUUUAUCAAAUAUAAGAUUAAUAGACAGUGUACUGAAAAUGUUUUAAAUUGUUCUGCUGUGAAGUGCAAAAAGCACGUCUAAUUAUUCUUUCCAUAUAGUCGCUUGGAAGGUAAGUAGACACGUGAAGCUAACGAAGACAGAUCUAUGCUCUCGCUUUCUUCUUCCUCUUCUAUCCUUCUCUUUCGGUUUAUUUCUUCUCAAGUUUUUCUCCUACGUUUUUCUUCGAGAUUCUUCCCUCUCCCUUUUGCUUUUCUCGUUAAACGGAAUUCUUCUCGUAACGCGAAGCUAGUUCAGAUUCUUGGAAUCCUUGAUCGAAAGGUUUGUUCACUCGCAUGGUUUCACAGUUGACGUUUUUCCUUCUUAUUUGGCAGUUAGUCAAAUGGCAUAUAAUCACAAAAAUUGAAACUCGAUAUUUGACUAAGAUAUUUGCACGUUACGUACAUUCUGUUCAUCUUUGCGCCUUCAAAUAUUCGUAAAAAUGUAAGUUUCCGUAAGCAUCCGCGAUCCGAUGAUAAAACAUCAAUUCUCUUGAAUAUUUCGAAAUGGUAAAAGUGAGGAUUUAACUGACUAACGAGGAUAAAGGUACAAAGCGGCGAUCGUGUUUUUCCCGAGAUCGUCUUUGUUUCUUAUUCUCGUGCGUCGAGCAGGAAGAACCACGACGCCUCCCACUUUUGCUCUUGGAAGAGGAGCAAGAGCACGGAAGAAUGCUCGCGUGUGUGGAUUCCAUUCCACGCCAGUUUUUCGCCGUAUAUACCUGAUUAAUCGCGAUCGGGAAGCUUGUGGAAGCGUGUCGGAGAGAAAUGGCAGCGAGAUCAGCGUAACGUGAAACGAAGAGAGAACAAGGGAGAGACCUGGUAUUGGAUGGAAAGAGAAUGGGGAGAAGAGAGGCGCACAAGUGGCGCACACAUGGUGCACAGUUGUUCGAGAGGUCAGGUUUUUGUCCACGAGCCUUCAGUUUUACAGAUCCGGCCGAGUUUCUCUAUGUCUCUAUAUCUAUAUACAGGGUGAUCCACGUAACGCGACAUUUCCAUUCCUCGAUGGGAUUAUAGUCGGGGCUGUUUCUAUGGAUGGAAUGACAGAAUUGGGGGACAAUGUAUAUCGUCAGAAAGUUUCUCUGGGUACGGAUUGAUAUUACGUUGGGAUGAAAUCUUGCGAAUGUUUGGUAUUGGGGAUGCGUCACAGCAUACAAUUUUACCCGGCUAGUUGAUUAUUAUACAGAGAUAAUAUUUACAAUCGUGUUCGAAGAUAUUCUUUAUCGUCGUUCAUUGGGAUAAAUAAUUUUGACGAAUUGUAUCUUCUCACGUUGCUUCUUUCCUUUCACAGGCAAUCUUUACUAUUGCGUUUGGAGAUAUUUUUUAUUGUUACUCGUGCAAACGAAGAGUUUUGAAGAAGAAUCCUUUUACAUUUUUCUGAGUUCAUAGGUACACGAUUUUGUAAUAUUCUUAUUGUACAGGAAGAGGGACAGUACUGACCUUGGUACUAGAAUAAAGCAAAAUGAAAACACUGAGGGAGAGUGAAGUAAAAUAAAGGUAUUAAUAUACCGUGGUAAAAUUGAAAAGAUAUUAUACUUGUUGUCACUAAAUUUUUUUUUUAUAUUUAUUUAUUUUCAUUUUACAAUUUGUCCAGUAGGACAUUUGAUAAAAUAUUAUAGCUUAGUGUUAUAGUAUUAUAACAUGUGGAUGGCUACCCCCAGUGGGAUACCAUCUUCGAAUUUGAUUG